UUCACUUUUCAGACGCGUCACGUUCGCUCUCUAAUGUCUUCGCGAAAUAUAUCUUUUUUCCGAAAUAAAUUCUUUUAAUAUUACGAACAAAUGUAACAAAAAUGUAAUAGCAAUUGCAUUGACUCAUUAUCUGCACGUUUAAUGCAUUGAUGCAUUUCUAAUCAAUGGAUGUUUCUUUCAAAUAAGAUAUCAAUGUCGGUGAGAUCGAAUGAAAUCAGUUGCUGUCGGAGUACUGCCUGCUUUUUUAGCUGAUUGGAUUGCUGUUCGGAUUGCGGCAAAUGAUGUUGAAGAACAAGAAGUAAUAACUGUGAAGAAUUCGUUGCCACUAAUAAAUGAAUAUUAAUAAGUCUUAUUGAUAUUUCGUGCACCGGUAGACUUGCAGAUGUUGCAUACUGUGUAACAGUAAGAGAGUAUGGUGGUUGAAUGACUAUUUGUCAAUACUUCCUUGGAAACCAAUUCUCUUCUGGUUACGAUCUUGUAUCGAAUUUUUAUGACGAAUGAACCAACUAUAACGAAAACAAGCUCUACCAGCUCCUCAGCUUUGCAGAUGAUUGAUGGCAUCAACGUGACGUGUCGAAGUAUCAAUUAAUUGUUCUCCAGCCUGGUAUAAAUACUGGGUGUCAGAUCAAUUAUUGGAAUUGAAUUAACCACAGCAAUUUGUCAUUAACAAUAUAAAUGACUCAAAGAAAAAAAUGGACAACUUAUCUGCUUAAUGCUCAACUAAUCUACCGUCUUACUGCAUUUAAUCAGGUUGAUGAUGUGUGAUAGAAGAGGCAACUAAAUAAAGCUGAUCAAGGUAACUGUUCUAUCAGCGCUAUCUCCAAG